UAGAGGCAUCUGGCCCGACCUGAGCAAGCUCUUUCCGGAGGAAAACACCAGCGCAGAGGCUCACGAAGCCCACAUACCUCAGCUCAGCUGUAAAAUGCACCCUGUUCCCGCGCAAAAGAGGUCCCCCCAUGAUGCACUGGGUGGGGUGUAGAAAGAUGAGGUGUGGCCAGUGGGAGACAGGCUCCUACCCAGGUUUCUGACUUUUCUCGUUUUCAACAUGCCAGAAGUUUUCCAUUGAAAAGACAGUCACAACCAGUAAUCCUUAGACAUUCUGUUCACGGGGUGCCUGUUAAGAUCUUAAUCAUUCAUCAUGUUUCCUUAAAGUAAAAUGAGUUUUCUAUGAGAGGAGAGGUAGGAGGUUAUUGAUUGUGUGGCGUAUAGCAAAGACAGCUUCAGUUUGUUUUCAUUUGGAAUGAGCCGGGGAAGUAUUUGUGAACUGCAGGGUUGCUGGCAAACAGGCAGAUUGGUGGUGCGUGGUGUGUGCGCGUGUGCGUGCGUGUAUACACAUGUGCGCCUACAUCGGCUCAGCAAAGUUGUCAGAAACCAAACAUUUGCCAUUGCGUCUAAGUUUAGGUUGAGUUUCCAUAGCUAAAAAAUUUUAGACUGACAUAUAGGUAGUUUUAAUGUCUUCCUACAUCUAGCCUCCCCAUCCUUGGAGACACCAUCCCAUCCCCAUUAAAUGCCUAUGAAGGCUGGCAAAAGUGUGUAACUAUUUUUGCUGUCUAUAUAAUAUCCUCCCGAAUUUUCUGUGGGCUCUGAUUUCUCUGCCACCCCAUCAUAUGUCCUCAGGAAUUCUUGCAAACUGAGAAAAAUCCGGUGAGCCAAAUGCGAUUUGCGAGGUUGACUUCAUGUUACGGGUCUCAGCCACUUAAUUACACAGGAAUUAAUUAUGGCUUUCCUGCUUUCUUUUCAUGUUUUGGAACUGAUCGUUUUCACUUUCAAGGCGGCAGAUAUUUUUGUAGGCUCAGGAAGAGGCCCCGAAACUGAGUUACCUCAUGGGAAAAAAAUGGUCCGCGUUGAGAUUGGCCUCAGAAAGGUUACUCUUGACAGUCUCACCGUCCAACUGAGGCAUUGCACAUGUGUGUGCACACACACACACACAUUCACAUGCACACACACACAUAUUCACAUGCUCACCCAUGCUAUGCAGGCAUUGAAAUAAUUAGGAUCUAAUACUAAACCGAACGGCGAGUCUUCCCCUGCCUCUCCCUGCUUCCGGUGGAUGGUGCCAUGUGGUGCCUGAAUCUGGACAGAGAGUUUGGUUCUACGGGUGCUUGGGUUCAGAGAUGUGGGAUGAAGCCACAGCUGGUGCCCGCGAUGCGGUUCCGUGUUUGCACAGCUCACUGGUCCCGCAGCUACAUGGAGCACCAGGGGAGCCCUGGGGGGUUGAUGAAGUGGCCAACCUUCCCAUCUUAGAGCAAAGGGAAAAAAUGAGCAGCAGCCAAAAAACACCAUGCCUGGGAGAGUCGCCAGAGACUGCCCAGAUGGAGCCCUCCUCCGGCUCCGCCACUUCACAGUCGGCAUGCUCCCCGCUGCGUUUGGGAAGAUGUGCUGAGUGUUUUUUAACCAUCACGAAGGUGGUGAAGAGAAGCAGAAAGGCAGAGCCGUACGUCUGUUCUUGGCCAGGCCAGGUGCUGGCGAGACAGCGAUGACUGUGAUGCAGUGGGUGCCCUUGGGAGGUUGCACCGUUUCUCAAACCCAGAUGACGUGGGCGGUGAGGGUGGCUGAGACAGACCCCGAGCCCUGCCACAGUCGGCUGGGAACUCUGAGCAGAGGAGCCAAGGAUGCCCUGUCGCCACAUGCCUGCACUCGGUCACCUGCAGUACCCGGGCCACACGGAGUGGCAGGCGUGGCCCAGGAUGAGUAACCGUGGCUACUGCUUUUCUGAAAGCCACCUUUAUUCCCUUCCUUCUAGCUUCGCUUAGGAAUCAGGUUGAACACCUACCUUGUGGCAGGUUUUGUGCCAGGAACUGAGGGUCCAGCAGUUGGACCACUGGACCCCCAACCUGUGAGGCUGUUUAAGGGAAGGUAAUCGUUGACCAAGAGAUUUGAUGACAAGAUCCAUGGGACUUAACGGAAAGGGAGGGCAGGGCUCUGUGGGCUUCUGUUUCUUGAUCUGACCCAUGAGGGAGGAAGGAGUUGGGCUGUGGAUGGUUUUCAGCUUGGUGGGGACCCUUUCAAUUGGCAUGCAGCCUUCCUGGGAAACUCCAUUUGUGAAAUAUGAAAAAGCACCCAAUACCAUAUGGAACCCAGUCUGAAAUUCAGUGGGUGAGCUUACCCCUGAGGGGGCUUCCAGGAGCCCAGGCUAUCCUAGACUUCUGUGACUUCAUCAUGACGGGUGAGGUCCCUUCCAUGUCAAGUCAACACGAUCUCGUUUCUGGUACUUGGAGCUGUCGUUGGCCUGGGCUAGCAUCCUUUUCUGCAUGUGGAUGCCAGGCUCCCCCUCCUUAUUCACUCUGCAGGGAGGAAGGAAUCUGACUGUAGAAGCUGCCAUCCGAGGAGCCUGCCUGCAGGGGGAGAGGAGGGUGGAUGUGGAGUCGGCUUGCUAUGUCCCUCUGGCUGUCCAGAGUGACCUUCAGCAGUAAAGGCCAUGGACACUGUCAUUCCAUCUGCCACAUUGGGUGGAGCCACCAAACUCCAUCUCCACUCCGAAUGUCCCACAGCCAGUCUCCUGACUGGACCCUCACCUUAGUCAUGUUCUCCACCCUCUCCUCACCCCAGUCUAUCCCUCCUGACACUCUGAUCCGAUCCGCCGCACUCUGAUAUUAUUUCCCCAUUGGCUGCAGGGUCAAGUCAAAGCUCCUCAGCUUGGCACCUCCUUGUUGUGCCUCAGUGGGAUCUCUGGACACGUUCAUUCCUCAUUCUAAGCUCCUGCUUUGGCUCUUGUCCACCUGGAAUGGCUCCUUUCCUCUCUGCCACACUGCUCCAUAGCAAGCCCAGCACCCUUCCCAAGAUGGGUGGCCCCAGAACAAGCAUAUUUUUCCCUUCUUUGAAACCCCUCAGCACCGUCUAGCCAACUGAAAUGCUUCAGCUAUAGAUCACAAGAUCCUUUUGUUGGAAACCUUUUGCUAUGGCUGUGACCUGCCUCUCCCUUCUAUGUAAGCCCUUUGAAGACACAAUCUGGAUCUCCCAGUUCUUCUGUCUCUUUUCCUGUCUAUCACUUAAUCAGUUCUCCCCAAAUUAGGGCACAAACCCAUGUAUUCAGUGAAAGCGUUCUGAUGGCUCCAGGUGGCCAGAGGUGAAUGUGUCAUCUUUGACCAGUAAGAACACUUGGUUUUAACUCGCCACUCUGACUUCAGCAUGCAUUUGGCAGCUAGGAUCAGAGACCAAACUAACAGUGGUUUAAACAGGCAGGGAGUUGAUUUUCUCUCCUGUAACAGUCUGAGGCAGGUAGGAAGUCCAAGGUCAGGAAUGUGGUUCUACAACAUUUAGGCUCCUUUGUCUUUCAGCCCUGCCCCCUUUAGCACAUGGUUUGCAUUCUCAAGGUAGCCUCUUGGUCCCAGCAUGGCUGUCCCAGCUCCAGUCAUCACUUAUACAUUUUAAGCAGAAUGAAGAA